CGUAGGGUGCAAGCGUUGUCCGGAAUUAUUGGGCGUAAAGAGCUCGUAGGCGGUCUGUUGCGUCGGCUGUGAAAACCCGGGGCUCAACUCCGGGCCUGCAGCCGAUACGGGCAGACUAGAGUUCGGCAGGGGAGACUGGAAUUCCUGGUGUAGCGGUGAAAUGCGCAGAUAUCAGGAGGAACACCGGUGGCGAAGGCGGGUCUCUGGGCCGAUACUGACGCUGAGGAGCGAAAGCGUGGGGAGCGAACAGGAUUAGAUACCCUGGUAGUCCACGCCGUAAACGUUGGGCGCUAGGUGUGGGUUCCCUUCCACGGGAUCCGUGCCGCAGCUAACGCAUUAAGCGCCCCGCCUGGGGAGUACGGCCGCAAGGCUA
rnacentral:rRNA from 1 species